rnacentral:lncRNA from 1 species
AGUGCUUAUGUAUGUGCGAGGCAAAGACAGUUUCUUAGGGCUUUGGUUUGGACGUGCGAUAAUAAAGGAGUUUGGAAGUUGUUUAUGAUGAUAUAUUGAGAAUGCCAAUGUGAACAUCUGCAGGAAUUACUAAGCUGGAGCUACGAUGUCUUCCCAUGUCAAACUGUGGAGGGACAGAGUGAGCACGACAGACUAUGAUACACAGUUAAAGGAGGUGCGUUUUGCAGCUGGCCGAUCAGUUGAGGGUAUUUGACGGUCAGCUGGAGCAGAAGACUCAGGUGUUGCAAGAUCUGUUUGAUUAUUUGCGGGCAGACGAGGCGAGAUCGAGGGGAGUACGCCCGUUCACUGGACAAACUGUGUGACAAGUUCUCCUCCAGAACCAGGAAGUGAGGAUAUGCAAAGAAAAAAAAAUCACCAUUAAUGCAUGAAAAACUGUCUUAACCUAUAAAUGCAUUUAUGUUCAUUGGCCCCAAAUAGUGACAAAAAUUGGGCACUUGUGCCACCCUAAAAAAAAAAACAAUGUAAUUUAUUUUAAAGAAAGAUUUC